AUACGGAGGGUGUAAGCGUUAUUCGGAAUCACUGGGCGUAAAGGACGCGUAGGCGGGUCGGCAAGUCAGAUGUGAAAUCCUACAGCUUAACUGUAGAACUGCAUUUGAAACUGCUAACCUAGAGUAUGGGAGGGGGAGAUGGAAUUAGUGGUGUAGGGGUAAAAUCCGUAGAUAUCACUAGGAAUACCGAAAGCGAAGGCGAUCUCCUGGAACAUAACUGACGCUAAGGCGUGAAAGCGUGGGGAGCAAACAGGAUUAGAAACCCCAGUAGUCC
rnacentral:rRNA from 1 species